CUCAGUUACCGAUUCCACGGGGAUUACACGUCUCUCGAGAUUACACAUAAAGAAUAAUCUCAGGCAUUCAACUGCAAGUGCAAAGUAAAUACCUAGCGCUUUUUCACCGAACCACUCACCUACCUAUCUCAAUUAUGCAUCAAGAAAGCAAUAGAAUAAUUGUUUAUAGCAAUUUUAAAAUUGCCAUAUUUCUCUUACCAAGUACAACCUGUGCGCCCAGCUCUUACUACGUCGAAGAAACCAUGCAAACUUGACUCCGGACACGUGGCUUGUUCAUUAGAACACUGUUAGAACGCUAAGCGCUACGAUUCAAACAUAAUACAAGGCUAACACGCGAUGGACCAAAUCAAACUUUUUACUCUCCGGUAGUCGUGAGACCGGACCUUCUUCUCGUUGUGGCCCAGUGAAGUACGUUAGACGAUCGCUUUUUAGGAAUCGACGAGCGUGUUCACAGUUUGUUAAUCCGCGUGCGUGUAUACGCCGUAUUAACGUUAAUAGAGUCUGAACGGGUGCGUGCCGAUGCCGGCGUCCAUGUGACCGUUUUACACAUGUAACUCCAUACAAUGGCCAUAAAUGGUAUCAACAAGUGGAUGCUUAAGUGCCAUUAUGAAACGUUGAUUAUGAGCGCAAACUGUAUUACGUAUUAUUUGCGGCCGCAUUAAGAUACCGAGCGUGUCUUCGCGCGAUUAUCGUCCCGCCGUUUGUUUUAUAAUCAAAUAAAAAAGAAGAAAGAGAAAGACAAAGGCAGAGGAAAGAAGAAAGACAAGAAACACGAUGGUAUCGCAAAGACGGGAAAAGAUUCUAAACAGAGGGAGGCCAUCGUAACGAAACUGUUGAACUUCUCGGACUGAUGCGCCUCGACUAUGUACAUACGCUCGGCCCGUAAUCGUUGUUCUGAAUCGUUUGGAAAAUGAAGCCGCGUUAAACGACCGUUUUCAUUAUAGAACACAGUGUACACCAUCCGUGAUUCCGUUAUCUAAACAUCUGCUUUACAACGAGUCAUUUUUCUUCUUGCUAUUAUCGUUCGUCCAAUGUCCACGCUUUAAAUAUCGAAAGGGUAAUUGUUACUCUGCUUAUGUUAUAAUAGCAGCACGUUACAGUGCUGUAUAUGGGGAACGUAAACGAAGGGAAAUAAAGAUAUAACGUUUGAAUUGUAUGAAAAUAAAUUGUUGUUGGCAUGCUAGCGUCGAAAGCGGGAAAGUGCGUAGGAAAGUAUAAGACGUAUAGUAUAUAGAGAAAAGACACGACGCGUUAAUUAGCGAACGAUUGGCUCGAUCAAGCUUCUCCGGAAUCAUAUUCAACACAAGUAAAUUCUAUCCAGUCAAGGUUCUUUGACAAAUAUUUUAAGAGCGUCGUCGAUCAAUGAACAAAUCACUUCGAUCGCUUGUCAGCGUCGGCUGAUUAAAUUAAACCAAUCGACGUCGAUGGAAUUAGAAACGAAUAUUCGCGCUGAACAUCGAAUCGUUCAUAUCUCACUCGUACGUUUCCUAAUAAUAAUUAUCCACUGACAAGUAGAAAUUCUCGUGAGACGAGUAGCCGAGCUCCGUUAUGUCUCCUGAUAAUCGAAACAUCUUUUAAUAUCUAUGUGUACGUACUCUUAUAGCUUCGAAAUAAUCGCGUCUGGCUAACCGGCUUCAUUCACGACCGCUAAUAAGCCUCGAAUCGAUCUUCGAUCGCGACAGCUAAAUAUUUAUGAUUCGUGAAGGGACAGCGGCCGAUGGCUCGGCUUGUGUUCAAUCGACCAAUCGAUUACCAUCGUUACAUCAUUGAUCUCGCGGCAUACCGAUAAUAAUCGUGAAAAUCUGCUUUUCCCGUCCCGUCCGAUUUCGUAACGCGAAAACGGUUCCGUUAAUCGGACGGUCGCGGUUAAUUACGGUUGGCUGGCGAUUUUUCCGUCGCCAACGAGCCGCUGACUUUCUAGUUUCGGCCUGUUCACGCAUGAAUAAUACAAAAGUUACGCUCACGGAACCAACGAUCCGCCGCGGUUCAGUUUGAAGAUGAAAUUAAUAAAAAUUGACGUUGUAAAAAUUCGCAAAGAGUCGGGCCGUGCAUAUUUAUACGCUAAUUGCUGCAGCAAAUAUGUACAUACCGUGUACGAUGUUUGAUACAGAACAGAUUAAUAGUACGAGAUACGAUUCUGUUACUAAUGCGCGUUUACAUAAUUAUCUUAUCUGUGACGUAAUUGCAAAAAUAUGUAAAACCAAACAUCUGUCGCUAUUCGCGACUCCUCUAUCUUCUACAGCCAUUUGGCCGACAAUUUCGCCAUUCCCUCGCCAAGCUGUUCCUUUACUAGCAACUGACAGCAUUGCACCGUGUACCCUGCAAUUCAGAGGUACCUCGCAACGCGAUGCGAGUGCAUAAGUCGUGCUUUGCAAGUACGUACCGUUUAUUUCUCUAGGCCAAACGACACUGUUCAAAUAAGCAACGCUCCACCAUAUCAUCAACGAUCGUCGUCGUGUUACAAAGCUUCAACCGUCGUUGGACCACCUCGUGCGAAACGCGUCUGCAACGAUACGAAUGUAUUUCUCUUUGACAAAUGGCGCGCGAGAGGAAAAAAAAAAAUGGCACGGUAAGAGAAAGCGGAAAUGUUACGUGUCAACGGUUCGCAAUCGUUUCUGUGGACACGUUGCCCCGUAAUUCGGGACACGUUCCACGUAAUCUGGCCUCGUGCAAUUUACUCGACUCGGCCAAUUACACGGCGAAGAAUUUCUGACAGAGGGACACCUCGACUUCGUGACACGCGUGUGCUCCACGAUAUACUUUCGUUACAGCCAAUCUAGCACUUCUAUCUGUCCUGUCUCGUAUCUGGCAGGCCUAACGUUCUCGUGAAAAAAUUACUCGAAGAGCAAAGCAGAGGAGAAAAUGAGCAGCGUUCGCGUAAAACGACCGCGACGAAGAGGGCAAUCUCUUUCUUUCGUUCGAUACUUUUAUAUUUCUCACGUUCUCGCGAGUUCGUCUGGCAAACGUCAAACGAGACGAAAGGUGCCGUCGCGAAGGGUUUUGCUGGACCAAUGUCUGCACAGUGUUCGGCAGGGACCUUCGUGGAUGGUCCUUAAGAAUAUGCGUUUGGCGCCCUACAAGCCGAGAAUUCGAGCACGCACUUCAACGAAUCGUGAUUUACUGCCAGACCCUGUUCCGAACAUGGCGCAGACAAUGCCGAGGUACGCGUAUUCGUUCGAAGAACCGAGAGGCGGUGCAGCGGUGGUCCUUGGGAAAGCUUGGAGGCCGUGACCCGUAGCUUGAGACUCGAGUCGUCGUGGAUCUGUAUGGCGGAGCUGGUGAAACGACGAAGCGUUUGAAGUUUCGAAGCUCUGUUUUAGGAUAAUGAUAUAGGGAAACGGAAUAUACACGAAAGUAGAAAAGAUAGCCUUCGUCGUACUAUGAACAGCAGUUCCGUACGAGAAACGUCACGAUAAAUUAACUUACUAGCGUUUCGUCCCUCGAGAUAGACACAGCUCGUAUAAUGUAAAAAUGGAGACAAAUAUUAGAGGAAUAUGCAAGAUAUCAUAUUAUCAAGAUAAUAAUUAAUAUAUCAUAGAGGUUGCAAUUUAUCAAGAUAAUAAUUAAGGGAUGAAAUAUUUGGUUUACCUUGAGAAGCAAGCGUAUACGUAAGACUAAUUUGACUUAGAAAGUGUUGGCUAAUCUGAAUGCGAUGAUCAAUUUUGAGGCAUUUAUAUCGAAGACGCGUAUCGAUUCCUCAGGAAGCAGCUUCGACGGCAACCAUAUUCCUUCUGUGAUCUUCGUAUUACGUGGAAGAAAAAGCAUCGCGUAAUAUUUCCACUCGUAAUUUAAAUUACAGCUGGCGAUCUCUCAGAUCGCCGCUGCGAUCACGUUGCACUUUCACACGUAUCUCACGAUCACUAUUCUUUUAUGGGAAUUUUUAUUUACACAAUGCAACACACAAUUAUGCAGCAAGUAUUCCGCAGAGGAUAGGCGGCGCACUCGCGAAACGGGGAACGUCGUGCCAAGUCGUUUAGGAAACACGAACUGCUUAAAAGUCUUGAAACGAUUAACCCGGGGCCGACACGACGAGGAGAAACUUCUCACAAUCAAGAUAGCCCGUUGACGGAAGGGAAAGGUUUCCGUCAUUGGCCAAAAAAUAUUCCCUCGUGAAACCUGGAGACCCGGCAGCCGCGCUGGAAAAGGAAAGUCAGCCGAGAUCAAAGGGCUUUCUUUAACCCUGUCUUUUUAAAAAUGUGAAAUUUUUAUGGCCACACUUUCGCACCGCACUUCCAGUUGCCAUCGACUUUCUCGAGCCUCGGAUACUACCGUAGGGGACGAGUCGAAUUGUUUCGAGGGCUGCUUCGCGCACUUUCUUUCAUCAUUUCCUUUCACAAAUAUUUUCUCAUUUUUUUUCUAUCUUUACCUUCUUCGCAGAAGUUGGCAAAGCAAGGAAACGCACGGCGUGUGGCUAUUUCGUAGGAAAAGAAUCAGGAAGAGUCUUGAAGUUACGCCUGAAGAACGAGAUACACGUGCUCAAACCGAACAACUGCUAUUAAUAAAUACGUGCGUUUUAUAUUUAGUAUUUUUUAAUAUUCUUCGCGCAUUCUUGAAACAAA